rnacentral:lncRNA from 1 species
UCGGGCCUAUGGGCCGGACUGGGCUUCAAACACCCAAGCCCAAGCCUAGCUUGUCCUAAGGUAGGCCGGACCAUCUCAAAGCCCAUAAUGGGCCAGGCCGAGCUUUUAUUCAAUGGGCCGGGCGGGCCCCCAUCAGCCUAUGAGCCCACGGGCCAAAUGAUGAGGCCUACUUUAAAGCAUGUCCACCCAAAAAGGCUAAGGCUAAGGCAAAGUCAAGGCAAGGGCUGCUAUUAUUUACGUGAAUAGUGGCAGCCUUGUCUUUUUUGGUUCCAC